rnacentral:tRNA from 1 species
CAAAAAAUAGUUUAAUUAAAAUCUCAACUUUGGGAGUUGAGGAUAGAAGUUAGAAUCUUCUUUUUUUGA